rnacentral:misc_RNA from 1 species
UUAAGUUCAGCGGGUAGUCCUACCUGAUUUGAGGUCAAAUUGUCAAUAUAGAUUGUCUCGAAGAGACGGUUAUGAGCAGGUCCCCACAAGUCUUGUAUCAGAGUCAGGCGGCGUAGAUAAUUAUCACACCAAGUGACCAUCCACAAAGGAAUCCACUAAUGAAUUUAAAGGGAGCAGACCAUCCAACUGAAGGAAGCCAG